CUCAAAUAUCUUUCCCCUUUUACUAUAUACACUUUGCUUUUCGUCCUCCCUCUGCCAAUCUUAACUGAAAGGAUAACCUCCAUUAAAAAUCCAGUCAUGUUCUUGUGGGUUCCUUUCAAUUGAGCUGCUACUAUGUCUGGUUUUACAUGAUUUUGCAAUUGGUUUGAAUUGCUCGAAGAUCGUAGUCAUAUUAACUAUUAAAUAUGAAUAUUUUUUUUGUGGAGGGGGUGUUUAAUGUAUGACAUCACGUCCAUGCAGCAGACAAUGAAUGCUUAGCCUUAGAAAGAUGGUUAAAAACGAAGGGCAAAGUUUGGCUUAAAAAAUAGAAGCUACAGGAAAGGCGAGAGAUGAAGAAUAAGGCAGUCUUCCUGACAGUUGUGGAGAAGUGCAAAGUAUCAUCCCUUCAUCGCCCACACUCCACACACGCAUCGACUACUUUUCUUCUUCUUCUUCUUCAUAUUUGGUCUCAGUUUAAUCUUUUCCUUUUGGUAUGUUGUGUGAGAUCUGAGAUGGCGCAGACCAUUUUGGCUUCAAACUGGCAAGGCCGUCUUAAUACCAUCAAAGCUGAUGCUAAGGGAAGAAAGGAAGAAAUUCAUACUUCAAAAAUUAAGUACCUAUUCAAGAAGGGGAAGCCGUACAUUCGGAUACCAUCAAACGAUUUGCACAAUGUGAUUCUUUCUGCAACUUAGAAAGGCAGACUAUUGAAAAGUGAAUCGACUUCGUUUUUACAACUUAGACAGAUCACUAGACAAUCAUCUCAAGAGUUGUGAAGAGAUUACACUGACAGGUUUUAGUCUUGGAUAAUUGGGGCUUGCAUUUGAGAUUUUUUUUUUUUUUUUAAUAUUCUAUCUGAAAAUAUAUUGGAAUUGUACAAUCUAUAAGUGAAUUUUUGGUUUUAUCUUGUUUACAAAUCAGAUCCCCACCGAAGGAAAUCCUUAUAUUCCUUUUUUCAUUAAUGAGGUCAAAAGUCUUUAGCAAUUUUUUUUA